rnacentral:lncRNA from 1 species
AUGAAGAGAGAGGAAACAGAGGCAUGGCGCAAACCCAAGAAUGGGAGUGUCUUUCCUGCAAAGAAACGUUCUGUGAAGAAAAUGAUAUGGAAUCAAUUUGUUGAUUCCAUGAAGGGUUCAAGUUCCAUGGCGGUUUCACCACCUCCUCCUCAGUCCUCAAAGUCUAAUAGUAAUGUACACCCUUGUUCUACAUCAUCCUGA